CCUACGGGAGGCAGCAGUGAGGAAUAUUGGUCAAUGGACGCGAGUCUGAACCAGCCAAGUAGCGUGAAGGAUGACUGCCCUAUGGUUUGUAAACUUCUUUUAUAUGGGAAUAAACUGUUCCACGUGUGGAAUUUUGUAUGUACCCUAUGAAUAAGCAUCGGCUAACUCCGUGCCAGCAGCCGCGGUAAUACGGAGGAUCCGAGCGUUAUCCGGAUUUAUUGGGUUUAAGGGUAGCGUAGGUGGGUUGUUAAGUCAGUUGUGAAAGUUUGGGGCUCAACCGUAAAAUUGCCGUUGAAACUGGCAGUCUUGAGUACAGUAGAGGUGGGCGGAAUUCGUGGUGUAGCGGUGGAAUGCUUAGAUAUCACGAAGAACUUCGAUUGCGAAGGCAGCUUACUGGACUGCAACUGACACUGAGGCACGAAAGCGUGGGGAUCAAACAGGAUUAGAUACCCGGGUAGUC
rnacentral:rRNA from 1 species